UUAGGAAUAUUGGACAAUGGGCGCAAGCCUGAUCCAGCCAUGCCGCGUGAGUGAUGAAGGCCUUCGGGUUGUAAAACUCUUUAGCCGAUGAUUAUAAUGACUGUAGUCGGAAAAUAAGCCCCGGCUAACUUCGUGCCAGCAGCCGCGGUAAUACGAAGGGGGCGAGCGUUAUUCGGAAUCACUGGGCGUAAAGCGUGCGUAGGCGGUUUAGUAAGUUAGGAGUGAAAGCCCAGGGCUUAACCUUGGAAUUGCUCUUAAAACUACUAGACUUGAAUCUCGGAGAGGAUAGCGGAAUUUCCAGUGUAGCAGUGAAAUGCGUAGAUAUUGGAAGGAACACCAGUGGCGUAAGCGGCUAUCUGGACGAGUAUUGACGCUGAGGCACGAAAGCGUGGGGAUCAAACAGGAUUAGAUACCCUGGUGGUCCACGCCGUAAACGAUGUGUGCUUGUCGCUGGGGAGUUCACUCUUCGGUGACGCAGCUAACGCGUUAAGCACACCGCCUGGGGAAGUACGGCCGCAAGGUUAAAACUCAAAUGAAUUGACGGGGUCAUAGCUGUUUCCUG
rnacentral:rRNA from 1 species